CCAAGUCUCGGAUUCGACUUCCUCGAACGGAGCACCGACCUCGGGGUUCGGUUCAACGGACGCUCCUUCGGUCACGGAUACUAUACGCAAAAUGAUGAAUGCUCAUGAUAUGCGUAUGAUCAUUAUGCAAGAAGGGUCAAGUCGAGAACAACUUUCCUUCUUGGUGCAACACAGAAUAAACCAUAAAUAAACUUGUUUUUACCCAAGAAGUUGCAUCUGUAAAUUAAGACUUCUCUUACUUCAUAAUGAUCUUAAAUCAACUAAUUACUAUCCCUAUUUACCUAAAUUAAUUCUUAAUUAAGUACUAAUGACAGUAAUUAAGCAUUAAGGCCAACCAAUAAUUAAGUGCCAAAGGUCAUUAGGGUUAAUGACCUCAGGUCUUCACAUAAUCCUAAAGUCACUCAAACCCUAAUUAUGAGGAUUUAACUAAUCAUUGUUUACUUACUUUGGAAUUAUUAUUUAAUUACUAAAUAAGGGUUUAUUAAUAUUUUACCCAAACAUUAACCAAAUGCCACCAAAUUUUGUGUGGAGCCAGGGAAUAAUAUUUAGAGGCUCUCCACCAAUUUUGGUGAUUUUUGCACACAUAAAUAAAUUAUUAAAAUUCAUCAAAGUUUUAUUUGCUAAAUAAAAGAAGUCAAUUGUAAUACCCUUGCAAACUAUCAGAAAACAGAAUCUAGUAUUUUUCUUGGAUCCUACAUAUUUCAGGGAGUCUAUACAAAAAUUCUCAUUAUUUUUGGAUCAUCACACAAUUUAUCACACAAAUUCAAAUAUAAAACAAAAACUGCAAAAAAAGAAAAAGGAAAAGACAUUGCAGCGGGUGGCCGGGAUUCGGCCCGCAGGCCGGCCCGCUUCAGCUCGGCCCGCGCGGACGCUGCGCGCGCUGCCUCCUCUCCGUGCGGUCACUGACGAGCGGGCCCUGCUCGUCAGGUUUCCCCCCCCUCUUCCGGCGAGACACUGACAGGACGACCCCACCUGUCAGUUUCGUCCCCUUCACGCGCGACGGCGCUUCCGCAGCUCCGGCGGCCGUUAGCGAGGUCCCCGACCCCCGCGCGCGUGCGCAUCAGCUCCGCCUCACUUCCGCGGACCGAUCCCUACCACUUACUCGCGCUCUACCGCCCUCUGUCUAUCGCAACCGCGUCACCGGCAGACGGCCGCCAUGGCCGACUAUCGGCCGGCCACCAGGACCCGGUAGAGUGCAAGCCGACGGCCUAGCGAGCUUCCACAGGGGUUGGGGGGGAUGGUGCUCACGCUGCAAGGCUCGGGGAAGCAGCUGAAGCUGCAGGCGACGGAGGCAGUGUCGUCGGGCGGGGGCUCUGGCUCCGGCAAGCUCGUUCCGGUGAUCCUGCUCACAUUCAAAGAGAGGGAGCGAGCGCAUGAGCAACCGGGGCACGGAAGGAACUUGAAACAGUCGCCAGCGGGGUGUGAUACUCACUGGAACACCGUGGCCACGUGAAGAACUUCGCGGCGGCAGUCUCGGCCGGAGUUGGAGAAGAGGGAGGAGCUCUGGCGUUUGAGGGGGUUAGAGAGGGAGUUUGGGGGUGCACUGGGUUCGCACGAAGGUGACGAAGACUCUGGGUUGCUCAAAUUGGCUCGGGAAGGAGUGGUUAUGGUGAAUUUGGGAGAGAAAGGCUCGUCGGGUUCUUUGGCUCAGGACGGAGGAAACGCACGGCGUCGUCCACGCCGCGCUCAAAUGGAGGGGAAAGCAAGCCCGGGGCAUCCACGUUGCCUGGCGACCCUGGCAGCAAGCAGCUGCGUGCACGCACGCAUGCGCGCGGCGCUGCUCGCGCGGCGGCUGCGCUGGACAGGGAGCCGGUGAUCCAUAUCGGAUCACUGUAGCAGACCCUUAUCCCCCCUUUUCUGACUUUUGUGGAAUUCACCCAAAAUUUGAACUGAACACAAGAUUCCAUCAAAACAAAAGUUGUACCAAAUUUUGUGAGCUACAAAACAUGUUUUGGUUACCCAAGCCAAUUUUUAGUGGAAAAAGGUUAAUUUGGCCAAACAGUUUGAAAAUCAAAACUCAAUUCAAAGGAAAUUCAAAUUUUUGGAUUGGGGCAUAUCAGAAUUUCCAAAAUUACUUUUGUUUUUCCUAAACCACGUGAAAAACUCCCAACAUGAAAGUUGCUAAACUUUUUGUGCUCUACAACUUUCAUGUUGACCACUUUUCAAAAUUCCAAAUGGAUUUUGAAUUGGAGGUUUAAAUUGGAAAACGGGACACUUUCUGGAAAUCUGUAUUUUCAAAAUUACUUUGAAUUCUAUAUUGAAACUUCAAAAACUCAAAACACCAAAGUUGUACAUAUUGACAAGAUCUACAACUUUCCUUUUGAACUCAACCUCAAAUUUUGCUUAGUUUUUGAAUUGUACAAAAAGGGGCAAUUCUAGGGUCCAGAAAUCAGGGUUUUUCCCCCCCUAAGCCUUCGGAAAACCUUCACCCUAGGGUUCUAGCAACCCAGCAGGCCAUCAACGGACCGGUCCUUAACCGACACAGUUGGAGACACUACUUUAAGACUCCAUUCUCAAAGCAAGUCCACCGACCUGUCUCAAAUUGAAACAUCAUUGACCAUAAGUGUAUUCCACAACAACCCUUCAAACUUUCUUGUUUGAAAACCUGUCUAGUAGCAGGGCUAAGCAUCACUACGCAGUUUUAAAACAAAACAGGUGCCAAGGACAAGAUAACAAAUAUCAAGGUAGUAAAUGCAGCAAGUAGGUUCACCCAAUUCUCAACUACCUAAUGCAGCAUUUUCAAUUCAUAAGUAAUAAAAGAUUUAAAACAUUCAAGGAGGGGUUAAUGCAUCCGGGGCUUGCCUUGGUUGCAGGGCAGAGAGGGACCCUCGGAGACUUCCCAAGUCUCGGAUUCGACUUCCUCGAACGGAGCACCGACCUUGGGGUUCGGUUCAACGGGCGCUCCUUCGGUCACGGAUACUAUACGCAAAAUGAUGAAUGCUCAUGAUAUGCGUAUGAUCAUUAUGCAAGAAGGGUCAAGUCGAGUACAACUUGCCUUCUUGGUGCAACACAGAAUAAACCAUAAAUAAACUUGUUUUUACCCAAGAAGUUGCAUCUGUAAAUUAAGACUUCUCUUACCUCAUAAUGAUAUUAAAUCAACUAAUUACUAUCCCUAUUUACCUAAAUUAAUUCUUAAUUAAGUACUAAUGACAGUAAUUAAGCAUUAAGGCCAACCAAUAAUUAAGUGCCAAAGGUCAUUAGGGUUAAUGACCUCAGGUCUUCACAUAAUCCUAAAGUCACUCAAACCCUAAUUAUGAGGAUUUAACUAAUCAUUGUUUACUUACUUUGGAAUUAUUAUUUAAUUACUAAAUAAGGGUUUAUUAAUAUUUUACCCAAACAUUAACCAAAUGCCACCAAAUUUUGUGUGGAGCCAGGGAAUAAUAUUUAGAGGCUCUCCACCUAUUUUGGUGAUUUUUGCACACAUAAAUAAAUUAUUAAAAUUCAUCAAAGUUUUAUUUGCUAAAUAAAAGAAGUCAAUUGUUAUACCCUUGCAAACUAUCAGAAAACAGAAUCUAGUAUUUUUCUUGGAUCCUACAUAUUUCAGGGAGUCUAUACAAAAAUUCUCAUUAUUUUUGGAUCAUCACACAAUUUAUCACAAAAAUUCAAAUAUAAAACAAAAACUGCAAAAAAAGAAAAAGGAAAAGACAUUGCAGCGGGUGGCCGGGAUUCGGCCCGCAGGCCGGCCCGCUUCAGCUCGGCCCGCGCGGACGCUGCGCGCGCUGCCUCCUCUCCGUGCGGUCACUGACGAGCGGGCCCUGCUCGUCAGGUUUCCCCCCCCCUCUUCCGGCG
rnacentral:lncRNA from 1 species